UGUAACGGGGCUAAACCAUGCACCGAAGCUGCGGCAGCGACGCUUAUGCGUUGUUGGGUAGGGGAGCGUUCUGUAAGCCUGCGAAGGUGGCCUGUGAGGGUUGCUGGAGGUAUCAGAAGUGCGAAUGCUGACAUAAGUAACGAUAAAGCGGGUGAAAAGCCCGCUCGCCGGAAGACCAAGGGUUCCUGUCCAACGUUAAUCGGGGCAGGGUGAGUCGACCCCUAAGGCGAGGCCGAAAGGCGUAGUCGAUGGGAAACGGGUUAAUAUUCCCGUACUUGGUGUUACUGCGAAGGGGGGACGGAGAAGGCUAUGUUGGCCGGGCGACGGUUGUCCCGGUUUAAGCGUGUAGGUGUGUGUUCCAGGUAAAUCCGGUUCACUUUAACACUGAGGCGUGACGACGAGGCACUACGGUGCUGAAGCAACAAAUGCCCUGCUUCCAGGAAAAGCCUCUAAGCAUCAGGUAACAUCAAAUCGUACCCCAAACCGACACAGGUGGUCAGGUAGAGAAUACCAAGGCGCUUGAGAGAACUCGGGUGAAGGAACUAGGCAAAAUGGUGCCGUAACUUCGGGAGAAGGCACGCUGACACGUAGGUGAAGUGAUUUACUCAUGGAGCUGAAGUCAGUCGAAGAUACCAGCUGGCUGCAACUGUUUAUUAAAAACACAGCACUGUGCAAACACGAAAGUGGACGUAUACGGUGUGACGCCUGCCCGGUGCCGGAAGGUUAAUUGAUGGGGUCAGCGCAAGCGAAGCUCCUGAUCGAAGCCCCGGUAAACGGCGGCCGUAACUAUAACGGUCCUAAGGUAGCGAAAUUCCUUGUCGGGUAAGUUCCGACCUGCACGAAUGGCGUAAUGAUGGCCAGGCUGUCUCCACCCGAGACUCAGUGAAAUUGAACUCGCUGUGAAGAUGCAGUGUACCCGCGGCAAGACGGAAAGACCCCGUGAACCUUUACUAUAGCUUGACACUGAACAUUGAGCCUUGAUGUGUAG
rnacentral:rRNA from 1 species